CAGUACAAAAACUAAAAAAAUAAAAAACAAAUCAAGUUACAUUCACAUGUCCGCUACUCUGUUGGCCUGGCAUUGAACAUAAUCUGUAGUCUUGGAUCUGCACAGGUGGGCUGAUGAAGGGGAGGAAGUCGCACAUGUGAGUAGCUGGAGCAGAAGGGAAGGCAAAAGGCGGGCAUAUGCUCUCCCCUCUGUGGCCUGGCCUUCCUGUCGCCUCACAGGACAAUACGGCACGGGCGGGAGAAAAAAAAAAGGCGGGGGGGGCAGACUAGGUACGAAACCUGCUCUGUGGUGGCGUUCACGAACACCAUCGCUCCAUUUUAAUCUGGGUUUACCCGACGCUAUUUUCAGAGGCGGUCCCGUGACUGUGGCGGCAGAAAGCGGGUGAAAAAAGAAGACAAGGUGAAAGGCCAAAAUUGGCUGUCAUAAGUCUCGUGAGAGAGGCUGAAUUUAUCCCGGUCGUCUCGCAGCGUUGAACAGUCACAUCUCAUCUUUCAACCCGGAACUCGCACAGUGACGCUGGAUAGAUAACAUACUAGUGUAGUUGGUGAGAUUUCCCUCCAAGCAAACCUUGAGUUGAGUACAAUACAGUACCUUGUGGUGAAAAAAAAGCAUAUGUCACAUUUCAUUUUAUUUCUGGGCUACGAAUGACUGCAGUGAAAGAGAUUCAGUACUAGAACUGUAAAGCAUACCAUCCAACUCUAUCAUCCAGGAAAAGACAUCUAAAAGGGUCCGUUUUAGGACAUUCUUUAUUCCUUUCCCUGCGCCCAUUUCUGGAUAAAUAUUCAAAAACAACAGAGUGGAUAAAACAAUAACAUGAAGAACAUCAACGUUUUUUUUGAAGAACGAUUUAAAAUUUGUUUUCAAAGUAAAACGUAAAAGUGGGAUUGGUUGAAGGGAGUAGCAAACCCUGAGUCUUAAAGUCUUGUAAAUUAGGAGCUAGCUUGGGUUAGAUAACUGGUUAAAACAUGAUUAGGGCUAGGUUAGGCGGGUUUAGGGGAGGUUAAAUUAUGAGGUACCGUCAUGGUAUUUUUAGGUUAUGUUUAGACGCAAUACAAUCAGUCCUCUGCAGUCUGAGAGAUGGACGACUCGAGGGCGACGUGCUCCGUGAGCAUGUGGACGGCGCCCUCUACUGGACACACACAAAAACACACACACACCAAAAACUGGGGCCUUUUGCUUGAAGAAGACAAGUGAAAAUUGAAAUCGAGGAGAUGUGUCACCGAUAAUGCGCUGUUGUCACAGUCCUUUAUUUUGGCUCCUAUCCCACCGCGGCAGACUGGCCGGCUUUAUAAUCCUCAGGGUGAACAAAAAAUGGAUUUGGUCGGCGUAAACAACACUUGAGGCUGCCGGAAUGUUUCCUGGCACGGCUCUCCUCCCCGCCUCCGCUGCGUCUCCAGAGGCUCCGGACAACAGACGGGUCACAGCGAAGCCACAUUUCAAAUCCGGUGUGCAGAUGGACACCAGUGGCGGUGAUGCUAAAUCCUGCGCCACUUGGCAACACGGCGGCAGUAAGGUUUUUCCACCUGCCUGAUGCCACAGGAGACCCGAUGCGUGCGUUAACAUGAUUGCAACAAAAAAUAAUGUAUCCAUCUUCGUGCAUCACAAUGUAAAAAAUAGACAUGAAUUCAUUAAUUGAAUACCUUCAUCUUGAUAAUUUUAUCAACCAUAAUAUUAUAUCACUACCUAUUGAUUUUAGCAUGAUGUAUUCUCAUUGUCAUCAUUAUUUCUCGUAAUGUUUUAAGCCUAAUCAAAAUUAUUUAUCAUAUCAUCAAGGUUCAUAGUCUCAACAUAACGAGAAACCAUACAAGUGGAACCAAACAAAAGGACUACAAAUCCCUGCAGUCAAAACCGGAAGCAAAACGCCGGCUCGACUAACUCUCGCAUAACGCAAAAUCAUUAUUCAAACUUUCCAAUGCAGCUGGACAACCAUGAUGUGGCAACACUGCAACAAAAAGGAACGAACCAUGGACACUACUACAAUUACAAGUCUCAACUUUAUCAGUUUUGCCCAAGUUGUGUAAACGCGACUCCAGCAAGUGUUUGCACUGCCGCUUGCAAACAGCGAUUAACGUUAAGCGAUGCAGACAAACAAAGCAAGCAAGCACGAUUGAAUCUAAAAGAUAAUUCGACAGAUCUGACAAAGAAAAGCGGACAUAACAAAGGGAUUUUACCAUUGGGGUUAUGCUGGUGACGAAGUGAGUGAUUUCCUACUGAACCAAACUGCGAUACCUUUUUUUUUCUAUACGUCAAGCGAGUCACCUGUCAGUGG